GACAGAGGUGCCGAGCGUUAGGCGGAAUCACUGGGCUUAAAGCGUGUGUAGGCGGGCCGUUAAGUGUCUUGUGAAAUCCCCCCGGCUCAACCGGGGAAUUGCUGGGCAUACUGGCGGUCUUGAGCGAUCUAGGGGCAGAUGGAACAAGUGGUGGAGCGGUGAAAUGCGUAGAUAUCACUUGGAACGCCAAAGGUGAAGACAGUCUGCUGGGGAUCUGCUGACGCUGGAGACACGAAAGCCAGGGGAGCGAACGGG
rnacentral:rRNA from 1 species